CCUGCGCAGGCGCAGACGGCCAGUGCAGGUGGGCUUCGCGGGUCUGGUCUCCCGCGGCGGCGCAGCUCCUGGAUGUCUGACAGUGUAUGCCCUGGGCUGAGGUGGGACACUGGGAAGGAGCGGAAAGGGACAGAGAGCCCGGGAACACAGCACACAAGCUGUCGCCUGAGGGCUGAAGUAGGACGCCCGGGUUCUGAGGAUCAAGACCAAGAGAAACAAAGUCCCACUCUGCAACCCCCUUGCAUCCCUCUCUAA
rnacentral:lncRNA from 1 species